rnacentral:rRNA from 1 species
UUGGCGGACGGGUGAGUAACGCGUGGGUAACCUGCCUUGUACUGGGGGACAACAGUUGGAAACGACUGCUAAUACCGCAUAAGCGCACAGCUUCGCAUGAAGCAGUGUGAAAAACUCCGGUGGUAUGAGAUGGACCCGCGUCUGAUUAGGUAGUUGGUGGGGUAACGGCCUACCAAGCCGACGAUCAGUAGCCGACCUGAGAGGGUGACCGGCCACAUUGGGACUGAGACACGGCCCAA